GGAGGAGCUUCUCGGGCAGGAGGGCUCGGAGGGAGCGUUGCUUGCUGAGGAGGCGAGAAACCGAAGGGGGAGAGCGAGCGAGCUUCUGAGGGCUCCCGCGGCAAUUUUGACCAGAAAUUAAGGAUGUGGUUCCUCAUAAGAGGGGCAGGUUUCGUCCAAGCCCUUGUUACUUCAAGAACACUUCCAAGAAGAAAAUACCUGGAUCCAGAAGCUGCUAUGAAUAUUAGCGAAAUUAUUUCAUUCAGAGGAUAUCCCAGUGAGGAAUAUGAAGUGGGAACAAAUGAUUGGUAUAUCCUGAGUAUUAACAGAAUCCCGAUGGGAGAAAGAAGUGGAACAGGGAGUUGAUGUAUAUUUCUCUCACAGUCCAGCUGGGUUAUCAGUCCAGACCAUGCUUCACUGGGCUCAGGGUGUGAAGACUGGGAAGUUCAAUGCCUUUGACUUGGGGUAGCAAGGGAGAAAAUCUGGCUCACUACAACCAGGUAAGAAUUUAUCAGUAAUUGCUCAUGUUCCUCCCUCUGUUUACAUAAUAGUAAAAAAUGGAAAUGUAUCACAAUAGCUACUGGUGACAAAGACUGCUGUCCAAACUUAAAUUAAUGUUAUAAUCAGGCUAAAUACUAAAUAUUUAGUUGACUAUAGAAACCUCUAUAAUACAGUAAUGGAAAUAGAUGAAGCCAUGAACUGAACACACACAAUAGAGCCACAAUGUGUGAGGAACCAUGCAAUAAUCUGAAUAAAAAGAAACAGCACAUGGGAUUCUCUCAAUGUUCUUCAGUUAGAUUUCCUAGAUAACUGAAAUGCAAAAUGUA